CAAAUUAGAGCUUGAUUAGUUAAGUUUUUCAUUUACAUUGAAAAGUUGUCGUGCAAUUCGAUUUAAUUUGA
rnacentral:tRNA from 1 species